rnacentral:rRNA from 1 species
UACGUAGGGGGCAAGCGUUGUCCGGAUUUAUUGGGCGUAAAGAGCGUGUAGGCGGCUUUACAGGUCCGUUGUGAAAACUCGAGGCUCAACCUCGAGACGCCGGUGGAAACCGUAAAGCUAGAGUCCGGAAGAGGAGAGUGGAAUUCCUGGUGUAGCGGUGAAAUGCGCAGAUAUCAGGAAGAACACCCGUGGCGAAGGCGGGUCUCUGGGCCGUAACUGACGCUGAGGAGCGAAAGCGUGGGAAGCGAACAGG